rnacentral:rRNA from 2 species
UGGCUCAGAACGAACGCUGGCGGCAGGCCUAACACAUGCAAGUCGAGCGCCGUAGCAAUACGGAGCGGCAGACGGGAGAGUAACACGUGGGAACGUACCCUUCAGUACGGAACAACCCAGGGAAACUUGGGCUAAUACCGUAUACGUCCGUAAGGAGAAAGAUUUAUCGCUGAGGGAUCGGCCCGCGUCUGAUUAGCUAGUUGGUGGGGUAACGGCCCACCAAGGCGACGGUCAAUAGCUGGUCUGAGAGGAUGAUCAGCCUCACUGGGACUGUUUCUCGGCCCAGACGACUACGGGAGGCA